CCUACGGGAGGCAGCAGUGGGGAAUAUUGCACAAUGGGGGAAACCCUGAUGCAGCGACGCCGCGUGAGUGAAGAAGUAAUUCGUUAUGUAAAGCUCUAUCAGCAGGGAAGAAAAUGACGGUACCUGAGUAAGAAGCCCCGGCUAACUACGUGCCAGCAGCCGCGGUCAUACGUAGGGGGCAAGCGUUAUCCGGAUUUACUGGGUGUAAAGGGAGCGUAGACGGCAGUGCAAGUCUGGAGUGAAAGGCGGGGGCUCAACCCCCGUACUGCUCUGGAAACUGUACGGCUGGAGUGCAGGAGAGGUAAGUGGAAUUCCUAGUGUAGCGGUGAAAUGCGUAGAUAUUAGGAGGAACACCAGUGGCGAAGGCGGCUUACUGGACUGUAACUGACGUUGAGGCUCGAAAGCGUGGGGAGCAAACAGGAUUAGAUACCCUAGUAGUC
rnacentral:rRNA from 1 species